rnacentral:rRNA from 1 species
AUGAACCGGCGAGUUACGAUCUGAUGCAAGGUUAAGCAGCAAAUGUGGAGCCGCAGCGAAAGCGAGUCUGAAUAGGGCGUUGAGUAUUUGGUCGUAGACCCGAAACCAGGUGAUUUACCCUUGGUCAGGUUGAAGUUCAGGUAACACUGAAUGGAGGACCGAACCGACUUACGUUGAAAAGUGAGCGGAUGAACUGAGGGUAGCGGAGAAAUUCCAAUCGAACUUGGAG